AUUGAAAUUACACAUUCUCUGAUCAUCCAGCUUAAUAAAUAAAGGCGGUUUGCACAGCAAGGGAUUUUGGAAUGUGUUCAGUUCCCCAAAUCAAGAACACGUCAGUAUAAUAUGUGCUUAAAGUGCUUCAUGGCAGUAAGAUCAUAGUGGGUCAAAAUUAGUUUGGAAAUAUUUUACUUCCUUAACUGUGAAUGUGGUUAGGAUUAACUCGUUUUGUAAAAAUGUGGCUAUUGCAGACAUCAGCUUCGCUUAAAAUUGUUGAAAGGCAAAAAACAGAUGCUCUGAUGCACAAGGGAGAAAACAAGAUACUGAGCCUGAAGGUUGUUCAUUCAAGCUGACAUUAAUGAGAAAUGAUUUCAU
rnacentral:lncRNA from 1 species